GACGAACGCUGGCGGCGUGCCUAAUACAUGCAAGUCGAACGGUCUUUUCUAUGGAAGCUUGCUUCCACUGAGAAGAUAGUGGCGAACGGGUGAGUAACACGUGGGUAACCUGCCCAUAAGAGGGGGAUAACAUCCGGAAACGGGUGCUAAUACCGCAUAGUUUUCUUGAUCGCAUGAUUGAGAAAGGAAAGACGGCCUUUGUGCUGUCACUUAUGGAUGGACCCGCGGCGUAUUAGUUAGUUGGUGAGGUAACGGCUCACCAAGACGAUGAUACGUAGCCGACCUGAGAGGGUGAUCGGCCACAUUGGGACUGAGACACGGCCCAAACUCCUACGGGAGGCAGCAGUAGGGAAUCUUCCGCAAUGGACGAAAGUCUGACGGAGCAACGCCGCGUGAGUGAAGAAGGUUUUCGGAUCGUAAAACUCUGUUGUCAGAGAAGAACAAGUUGGAGAGUAACUGCUCCAGCCUUGACGGUAUCUGACCAGAAAGCCACGGCUAACUACGUG
rnacentral:rRNA from 1 species